rnacentral:rRNA from 1 species
GAUGAACGCUGGCGGCGUGCCUAAUACAUGCAAGUCGAGCGAACAGACGAGGAGCUUGCUCCUUUGACGUUAGCGGCGGACGGGUGAGUAACACGUAGGUAACCUACCUAUAAGACUGGGAUAACUUCGGGAAACCGGAGCUAAUACCGGAUAAUAUUUCGAACCGCAUGGUUCGAUAGUGAAAGAUGGCUUUGCUAUCACUUAUAGAUGGACCUGCGCCGUAUUAGCUAGUUGGUAAGGUAACGGCUUACCAAGGCAACGAUACGUAGCCGACCUGAGAGGGUGAUCGGCCACACUGGAACUGAGACAGGGUCCAGACUCCUACGGGAGGCAGCAGUAGGGAAUCUUCCGCAAUGGGCGAAAGCCUGACGGAGCAACGCCGCGUGAGUGAUGAAGGUCUUCGGAUCGUAAAGCUCUGUUAUUAGGGAAGAACAAACGUGUAAGUAACUGUGCACGUCUUGACGGUACCUAAUCAGAAAGCCACGGCUAACUACGUG